rnacentral:lncRNA from 1 species
GCUGCCCUCGCCCGCUCAUUGGCUCGCGUGCUGACGGACAGGUGGGGCGGACAGCCGGCGAAAGAUCUGAGGAGCCGCUGGACUGGAAACUGCUACUGGGCUAAAAAUACUUAAGUAUAUCCUCAAUUUUACAGAUGAAGAAACAAAGGCUUGGAGAAGUAUGUAACUUACCCAAGGUUAUACAACUGGUGAGUGGCAGAGCCCACCGUCUUGUCUGCCCCGAAGCCCAUGCUCUGGGGGAAGGCCAUGAGCUUCCUGCCAUGACUCAGUCCCAGCUGCUCCUCCUCUGGAAGCCACUCCUCCCAAAGUCACCCUGAAGCCUCCUCAGAGGAUUGAGAAGAAUGGGACUGAUUAGAGGAGAACAUUCUUAUGACCUUCAAGAGAAACUGAUUCAGAGAAUCCAGGAGCAAGAGGUGUUUGAGCCCCUAGUUUGUGCCUCAGUUUCUCCAUCUACAGGCUGCCUUCUGUGGAGAGGGGAUCUGCCAACUCAUGAACUGGGGUUGGGGAAACAGGGCACAAAGGAGUUUACAGCGGGGAGCAGGAAACCUAUCCAAGGGAUCUCCCCUACCAGUGUGAGGUCUGGACUGUCCCUUUUCAAUUUCCCUAACUCUCUGGGACAAAAAAGAGGGAGACAAAGUGGAACAUCCUUUUAUCCCACCUCUCCAGAGUCAGAGAUGAAGACAUAUGACCAGCAGCUUCCAGUUUGUAUUUAUUUAUUUAUUUAUUUAUUUAGAGACAGAGUCUCGCUCUGUCGCCUAGGGGGGUGCAGUGGCGCAAUCUCAGCUCACUGC